GUGGUAAGUAGGCUUCUACUUUCACCCCUUAUUUCCUAGUGGUGGACCAUUGAUCAGUUCUACCAGACAUGAUGAGCAAGUCAACUUAGGGUAGGGCCACUCAAUUUUGUUGGACCCUUAAAAGCAUUUUAGAUGUAGGGUAAUUAAAAACGUCUCUGACUCUAGCACAAUUCUCAGUAAUUUACAAGUGCACGUCAAACUUUUUUUCAGACAUUAAUUGAUGGUACAUGAUAACCAUCAAUAAUAACAUCAUAUCUCCAACUAUUCAAGAUUUUAAUUUCUUGAGGGGUAAAUGUUCAUGAAAAUCACGCAUCGUCUCAAUUAUGUUUUUCCUUCGUUUUUUUUUCAAAAUUUGCUCGAUUUAUCUAUGUAGGCUACUUUCUCCAACGUUGGUCCCACGUGGUGAAUAUCCUCUAAAGCAAGUCGAUAUCAAGAGGUCCGAAGAUAAGAAUCUAUUAGACAUCACAUGAUUGGUGUUUUAUGAAAGCUAUGGUGCGGCUGGCCAUGGUCCCCGUCCCUUUCGAGAUUCCAAUUCAAUGCGUUUAUAAAACUCUCUGUUUGGGCAUUUUCUAUCACGACAAGCAGGUCUGGUAGAUUUGGAUACACGUGAAGUUGAGAAACAAAUGGGGAUGUGUGCAAAUGUAUGUUUGAUAGAUGGGAUAGGCCUUAUUCACACAUUAUCGACAUUGAUAGUUCGAGUUCAAGAGCGUGUGGUAUUAUUCAGUAAGCAUGCAUUCUAAUAGUUCAACAACCACAAGACAGACGGAUUCACGUGCCUCAACUUCCUCUCCCUUAUAAUGGAAAAGAAGGGCCUACAUGAAUCACAAACCACUUUCUUUCAAUUUGUUACUUUAUUAUUUUUCUCUGGUUUGGUACUUUUCUCUAACGUAUGUAACAUCUCCAUUAUUUUGGUAAAUUCUUGUAAUAUUCUUAAGGCUAAAAUAUAUCACAUUUUGUCAUAUGAAUUUCUUUUAAAUAA